UACAGAGGGUGCGAGCGUUAAUCGGAAUUACUGGGCGUAAAGCGUGCGUAGACGGCUAUCUAAGUCGGUGGUGAAAGCCCCGGGCUCAACCUGGGAAUUGCAUUCGAGACUGAAUAGCUAGGGUACGGUAGAGGGAAGCGGAAUUUCCGGUGUAGCGGUGAAAUGCGUAGAUAUCGGAAGGAACAUCAGUGGCGAAAGCGGCUUCCUGGACCAGUACCGACGUUCAGGCACGAAAGCGUGGGGAGCAAACAGG
rnacentral:rRNA from 1 species